rnacentral:rRNA from 1 species
GACGAACGCUGGCGGCGUGCUUAACACAUGCAAGUCGAACGGAAAGGCCUGCUUUCCCUUGUGGAUUGCGGGUACUCGAGUGGCGAACGGGUGAGUAACACGUGAGUGAUCUGCCCCCAACUUGGGUAUAAGCCUGGGAAACUGGGUCUAAUUCCCGAUAGGACUGCAGGGUGGUGCCUGUGGUGGAAAACGAUUUUCUAGUGGUUGGGGAUGAGCUCGCGGCCUAUCAGCUUGUUGGUGGGGUAAUAGCCUACCAAGGCGGCGACGGGUAGCCGGCCUGAGAGGGUGGACGGCCACAUUGGGACUGAGAUACGGCCCAGACUCCUACGGGAGGCAGCAGUGGGGAAUAUGGGACAAUGGGCGGAAGCCUGAUGCAGCGACGCCGCGUGGGGGAUGACGGCCUUCGGGUUGUAAACUCCUUUCGACCGCGAGGAAGCCACCUGGUUGGAAGGGUGGUGACGGUAGUGGUAGAAGAAGCACCGGCUAACUACGUG